rnacentral:rRNA from 1 species
GAUGAACGCUGACAGAAUGCUUAACACAUGCAAGUCAACUUGAAUUUGGGUUUUUAACUUAGGUUUGGGUGGCGGACGGGUGAGUAACGCGUAAAGAACUUGCCUCACAGCUAGGGACAACAUUUGGAAACGAAUGCUAAUACCUAAUAUUAUGAUAAUAGGGCAUCCUAUAAUUAUGAAAGCUAUAAGCGCUGUGAGAGAGCUUUGUGUCCCAUUAGCUAGUUGGAGAGGUAACGGCUCACCAAGGCGAUGAUGGGUAGCCGGCCUGAGAGGGUGAUCGGCCACAAGGGGACUGAGACACGGCCCUUACUCCUACGGGAGGCAGCAGUGGGGAAUAUUGGACAAUGGACCGAGAGUCCGAUCCAGCAAUUCUGUGUGCACGAUGAAGUUUUUCGGAAUGUAAAGUGCUUUCAGUUGGGAAGAAACAAAUGACGGUACCAACAGAAGAAGUGACGGCUAAAUACGUG